GACGCGUGCGCGGCGCCGAGACCCAACGGCGAGAACGCGAGAGACGGGAGAUAAUUUAUGCAUUAACCUCAGAUUGGGGUUGCGGGCGGCCGUCCCCAGCCGGCGUGGGAGGGACGGUGGCCUCUCCCCAUCGCUCUUCCACCCGCCUCCUCCCACCCCGCCGCCACACACAGCCACACAAUCCCCUUACAAUUAGGAAGACACCUAUUCAGCCCCGCUCCGGCAUCGCUGGGCUUUUGUUCCUUCUCUUCUCUGCUGGCAAAGGCUCUUCUUCCCCUCCGCACGGCUGCGCGCGGCGCUCGGCGCUUCGUUAAGUUGCUUUUCAUCAUCUCCAGCGAAGAAUCGCAGUCCCGCCGGAGUCCCGCAGAACAUAACAAAAAAGGAGGGGGGAAAAAAAGAAGGUGCCCCCACACCUCUCCGGCUCUAGGUGAUGCCCCAGUUCACCUUCGCUUGCUUCUGCGGGCUCCAUGGCUUCUGCAAGAUGAAGAGGAAGAAAGAAGAGGCCAGCGCGGAGCAGGAGACGGCGGUGUGAGGAGCAGAGCUGUCUGUGUGCCCUGCUGUGCACUGGGACCCCGUCCCAUCGAGACUCGCCUGGCCAAGGGAGAACCGAAGCACGGGAAUGACCUCGUCGAGAGGCAGAAGCAGAUGCUGCGGACAUUAUCCAGGUGCUGCAGCAGUUGUGCCCGGAACCGCAGCCUGGCUGGGUGCUGAGCACACCCGAGCAGCUGGUGUUGGAGGGACCGUGUCCCCACAGGGUAGACAUUGCCCUCCUGAGCGAACAGACCUGCCCUUGCUCUAGCAAGUCUCAGCACACAGACCCCAGAGGGCUUUUCAAAAGCCGGGGCCAGACUUUGUCCUUCCUGGAGUCACAGGCCCCUGGCUGGUGAGUCGUCCCGCUGGGGCAGAAUUGCCUGAAUGUAAAAAUGAACUUUAUUUAUUUUAUUUUUUCUGUUUUUAAGUCCAUUCCAAGCAAAGGUCUGUGACCCGAAGCAGCCAUUCUCCAUGCCCCUACCCUGCCUGGUCCCACGGGCGCAGCACACUGGAGCAUUUUGGAAGCACCAGAAGCACUGACCCCGCUCAGACGCUGCUCCCUGUGUGACCGGUGUGUCCCGGGAGCUCCUGCACUGGGGUGGGGGACAGGGACCCCCUCAGCGUGUGCCACCCACCUCCUGCACACCUGAGCCAUGAGGCUCAGUGGGAGGUUGCUCUUUCUUAAAACUAUCCAAAAUCCCUGAGCUUGGGGCACCUGAGAUUCACUCCAGGGACGUUUCUAGAACAAACGUGUUCUCCAGAGCAGAAAUCCUUUAAUUCUUCUAUACUGCGCUUCCCUUCUCUAUAUGGAGACCCCCUGAGCCUGGGGGGUCUAAUCCCUAGGGUUAGUCUUGCUCCUGCCACCAUCUCUUCCUGCGGUGGUCGAGCAUCCCCCUUGCACCAUGUGUCCAUCCCCACGGUCCCCCUCUCCCCACCUUGUCUGUGUGUCCUUCCCACCCACUGCUGAAGCCAUAUGGGAGCUCCCCUCGUGCUGUGCCUUCCCGGGGGUGUCACAGAGAGACACCCCUGCUCAGAUACCCCCCCAAACAGCCCUAGGCUGUGGGGAGUGUCAUGAGCCAGGGCCCCCCAGGUUUGGGGACCACUGUCGGGGUCUCAGUGCCCGGUUCUCCAUCCCUUAAUGGACCUGGCAUGUGAACAGAUUCUCCCCUCGUGAUUAACCGGCUCGACUGGCUUGGCAAACAGAGCUGUACGUGCUGCUGACAGCUCCCCUUUGGAGGAGAUUUGUUGGCUCAGCCUACACCCAGAACCAACACGGCUAUUAUUUUAUUUUCUUAUCCAAAGGAUUUAGCACAAAAACCUGAGCCUAGCCAGGAGCACCAAUAACAUGAGGUACAGCUGAGGAGCUUUAAAUCCUCCAGGCUGCAGUGGGAAGCAGCUGGUUGGUGUGCGAUGUGCUUCUUGGAGCCGAAUCAGAGGUGACAGUGGGGACCAGGCACGGGGAUACAGACUGUGAGUGGUCUCUGUGUGCCAGAUCUCAGGGUCUGGGGGCUUGGGGCACUUUGCUUUUCCCCCUCUUUAAGCCCAAGUGAUGUGAGCUGUGGGAUGCAGCAGUGCAGCCCCCAAGCAGUGUUCCCAGCUGGAUAUUUCCCUGCUGGAUAUUUCCCGGCUGGGCUGCAGCUUUUGACACGGGAGGGGGCACAGGAGGGUCAGCCAGGAUAGCAGUCUGUCUCCCCGUCAUUUGUCACCAUCGAGCUCAGCAGAUUUCAGCCUGGCACGCAUGGAUCGGUGGAAAACACUAUGGUUAGUGCCGGUUGUAAUGUCCCCUCUGGGGCUGCAUCAACCUGUUCCAUAGGCAGCGCACGAGGAGCUGCUUUGCUGUUCGGGCAGCAGAUGCACGCUCCAGUGAAACCAUCAAAAGCAGAGAUUUGGGGAAAAUCAUGAGCAGUUUCGCUCAUUCAGGCUUUAGAGGAGCUAAACUAUUACUAUGGGGUUGAGGGGGCUUGGCCCAGUUCAUUACUGUGUAACCUUCACUGCUAAACUUGGAUUAGAAAUCCAUGGUGGUUUGUGCACGAUGGGGUGCUGCUCCAGGGGCUGCUGGUUGUGGUGGGAGAUCCCCAGGCUGCUCGGGGAUGAACUGGGAGCUCUGCUGUAAAUACACCAUGCUCACGCUGUGCUCACACCCUGCUCGGGCUGUGCUUGCGUUGUGCAUGCUGUGCGUAGGCUGGACAUGAUGCACACACAGUGCACACGCUGUAUGUGCUAUACACACAGUGCACACGCUGUACACGGUGCACACACAGUGCACACGCUGUACAUGGUGCACACGCUGUACGUGGUGCGCAUACAGCGCAAACACUGUGCACACACUAUGCACACACUGCGUGGUGUACACACGGUGUACGCGCUAUGCGCACGCAGUGCACCUGCUGUACACAGUGUGAACGCUGUGCACAUGCUAUGCACAUGCUGUGCAUGGUGCACAGACAGUGCACACACAGUGCACAAUAUAUGCAUACGCUAUAUACACGCUGUACAUUGUGCAAAUACUGUGCACGGGCUAUGCACACACUGUGCAUGGUGCACACACAGUGCACGCAUUAUGCGUGGUGCACACACUGCGCACAUGCUAUGCACAUACUGUACACAGUGCAAAUGCUGUGCACACACUAUGCACACACUGUGCACGGUGCACAUGCUAUGCACAUGCUAUGCACACGCUGUAGAUGGUGCAAAUGCUGUGCACAUGCUAUGCACACAUUGUGCACGUUGCGCACACUGUGCACGGUGCACACACAGUGAAAAUGCUGUGCACACGCUGUGCGCACUGCACACACAGUGCACAUCCUGUGCAUGGUGCGAACACCGUGCACAUGCUAUGCACACACAGUGCACACGCUGUACACAGUGCACACACUAUGCACACGCUAUGCACAUGCUGUACAUGGUGCACAUGCUGUACAUGGUGCAAAUGCUGUGCACACGCUGUGCACACACUCUGCGCAUCACGCACAUGCUAUGCACAGUGCAAAUGCUGUGCACACGCUAUGCACACGCUGUACACGGUGCAAACGCUGUGCACACACCAUGUGUGUGGAGCAGCUCGGUGCCUGUUCAGGUUUUCCCUGUGUCUGGAAUAUUCCCAUCUCCAGCGAGGGGUUCCCAAGCCAGGUGUUUAAUGAAUGCAGCACGUACAACUGAGACAGGCAGACACUCACCCACACCCAUUAUAUGUGCAUUUGAAAACACAGUAAAUGAACCAAGUGCAGUAUGAAUGUUAAAACGCUUGAGCUACAGUUAUUUUUAAAGAGAACUUUCCACCUCCCUGGCUGGAUGUAGCUCUCAAAGCAACAAUAUGUUUUCCACCAUGGCUUCGAGCAAAAUGGUUUGCUCCUGGAUUGACCUCUAUUGUGUUCAUAAAUGGCUUGUGGUGCUUUUUGAUUCCCCCAUCAUAAUGACUUGACCUCUAGAUUUAUGGCUGAAGGUCCUUUCAUCUGCACAUUGUUUCCCGCCAGACUCCAGCCUGGUGCUUUUCUGUAGCAAACCUGCCAAGAGCGGAGCCCCUUGAGCUGCCCAGCUGGCUUUCGCUGACAAAUUUGCAGUGGGCAAAAGCAAAAGGGUUGGUUUUGGUUUUGUUAUGUGGGGUUUUUUUUGCUCUCCGGUGGCAGCAUUUUAAUAGCGCAGCGUCUGCUUCUGAGCCUGCAAAGGCUUGGAAGUUGACAGCUCUUGUCACUGUGCAAACACUCUCUGUUUCCCUCUCCCCUGCGUUUGCACAACCCCUGGCAUUUUUAGAAACGAGGAGCUUGCUUAUUGUUCCGAACUUCCUCCUGCCCUCCCAGGUGACAGACACCCUGCCUUUGACUCAUCCACCCGCCUUUCACAUUCUCCGCUCCAGCGGCAACUGCACCGGAGUGAUACCGCAGUCGAUAAAUCCUACUGAUGUCGGUGGAAUGAGCUAUAAGCUGGAGUUGUCCAUCCGGUGGUUUCCAAGUGCUUUUCCGAGGGUUUUCCAUCCUCCAGAGAGAGGAUGGAAGAUGCAGGGACCCCCAGGGCCCGUGUCCCGGCUGCUUGUGGGCACCCCUGGGGAAAAGGGUGCGGGAAAAUGGGCGAGAUGUAACUUGUCCUCUCCGUUCUAGAGCUGGCUCAGUGUAGAGCUGGGCUUUCUGCAAAUCCCCUGUUACAACACGAGCUGCAUCCGCCCCGUGGGUUCCCAGGGUUUAUGGAGCCUCCACCUCCAUCCCUCCUCGGGAAAAGGAGAGCUGCUCUCCAAAAAUACACAUUAGUUCCCACCAGCAAUAAUCCUUCUUUAAUCCUGUUACACUAAGGAAAGCAUCCAGCUUCCCUCGGAGUGGAUGGUGGGAUGCGAGGAAGAUGCGGCCCCUUUCCCACCCUGCUCAGGUCCCCGACGGGGCUUUGGGGACCCUCUCCGUGCACCCCAAGCUUUUUGUCCGGUGCCAAAGGGCUGGAGUGAAACCAGCAGCAGCCCUGGGGAUGGAGAAGUAACAUCCUGUACCAAGGGGCUUUUCAUGAUCAAAAUAACCAGAGCAUCGCAUCAGGCUCAUCUCCAAAGACAAGCAGCGUAGCCCCUUUGUAAAUAUUGGUUUACUUGGGUUUUCUUCCAGCUGCCCCAAAACACCAUGUUUUUCAGGUGACACUGAGGACGCUGCACAGCUCCAGGUGGGCACGGGGAAGCUCACGUUGGUUUGGGAAAACGCUGACCUUAUUUUGUUCCCAUUUUUGCACAUCAUUACACCCUCCGAAUUCAGGGUUUGCAGCUCCAGUGACGUCCUUGGCGAGGACCUUCAGGUUUAUCUUUGGGCCAAAAAGAAAGGAAGUUGGUGAAACACAAAGUGUAUUUUUUGAAUGUAACUUUACUUUUGUACAACGCGUGGUUACCACACUUGUGGACUUAAACCCCUAGGGGUUAAUCACUGCCCUGGAGCUUAUGACACGUGUGAAGAUAUGGGUGAAAUUCAACCUUCAUUUUAUACCGGUAUAAAUCCAGAGAGACGGUCUGUAUGUUGUGUCUACAGAAAUAUUAAUUGCAUGGAGAUGAGCUUGGACCAGACUCCAACCCCCCCAGAUUCCUCCUAAAUGUGUCUCAGCCCCAUUCCUAUGCAAAAACACAUAAGCAACAACCACAAGGAGGCACAGACAGGCUUAGAGCUAAGCCCUGACUCAACAAAGCCCUGCUUAAAUGUCAGUGUUUGCUUUGGGAUUUGCCUCGAUCCUGCAAAUUGGUCUAAUUCCCCCCUAACGAACCUGCAUCGAUCCCCACAGAAAAGCGCAGCGAUCGAGGCAAAGGCACAGAACCCUGCCCGCAGCAUCGCCCCAGUGCUGCCCAAUGAGGAUCAAAGCGUUAAACCCUCUUUUUAUUGUCCUUUUCUUUUAUCCCACUGUCUGGAUUUCAUCACGAAGGGACCUUACCCAGACGUGUUCCUCAGGAGUCUCCCAGCCCCAGUAGCCAUAGAAACCGGCUAUUUUUAGCCUGUUUUCAUGAUGCCAGUAAAUGACUUUUUCUCUACUUUGGAGACAGAAGAGCAGGUCAGCCUUGCGUGCUGGUGGAUGGUAAAUGAGCAUCUCCAGCAGGACGGGCGUCCUCUCCUCUACAGGACUAUGAGAAAAUAAACAUGGCAUUUGUAAAUAGCCGCAUGUACCUACGCACAGAGCAGGUUACUUCCUAUUGUCUUUGCUAUGCUGGAGAAAAUAUUUAUAAGAAUUUUUAGAGUAUGGAUUUUAUAGAUGUUUGGAAAACGGGGGUUUUGGUAUAUGACAAGUUUUUGCCUUUUCUGAGCUGGUUCUUCAAAAGACCCCGCAAUACAAAUUACCAGCAUUUGGAAAUGUGACGGGUAAGAGCCCAGUGGUACUUAGAGCAGAAAUCAGCCCCACAACAACGCUUUUCAUUCUUGGGUUAUCAGUAAGACCCGCAGCCAAAGGCUUUUGAAGUCAGAUGGAAAAAGACAUUUAUCUGAGUAAUUAUUAGGCUACAUGCUAAUGAGCAACACUGGCCAGGUAAUCCAGGGAUCACUUUCCUGGAGGGAUUUUCUUAAAACACCCACCAUCUCCUGGAUGUUCCCCCUCCAGCAGGAUCCAGCGCACUGUUCCCUUUUAAUGCCGGUCAGGUAUCCUGGAGCUGUAAAUACACCGAGCCCGAUGGCUUCUUCCGUAAUGUCUCUAGUUUACAAGAUUGUACUAUAAAUUAUAGAUGCAUAUCAUGACUGCGGUUUGCACUGAGAGACUCACCUAUUGAUCUGUCUCCUGUUGGUUAUGUUCGGGACGGCUAUGGCCCUGCUUUGGGCUGUCGUGGGUCGUUUGUACGUCCCUCCGUCUGCACUUGGAACAAGCACUUUCGCAGCCCGGCUGUACGAGCACAUAGGAAGCAGCUAUGCCAGCUGCUGUAAUAAACCGGUUUUACGAUA